rnacentral:rRNA from 1 species
GAUGAACGCUGGCGGCGUGCCUAAUACAUGCAAGUCGAGCGAACGGACGAGAAGCUUGCUUCUCUAAUGUUAGCGGCGGACGGGUGAGUAACACGUGGAUAACCUACCUAUAAGACUGGGAUAACUUCGGGAAACCGUAGCUAAUACCGGAUAAUAUUUUGAACCGCAUGGUUCAAAAGUGAAAGACGGUCUUGCUGUAACUUCUAGAUGGAUCCGCGCUGCAUUAGCUAGUUGGUAAGGUAACGGCUUACCAAGGCAACGAUGCAUAGCCGACCUGAGAGGGUGAUCGGCCGCACUGGAAGUGAGACACGGUCCAGACUCCUACGAGAGGCAGCAGUAGGGAAUCUUCCGCAAUGGGCGAAAGCCUGACGGAGCAACGCCGCGUGAGUGAUGAAGGUCUUCGGAUCGUAAAACUCUGUUAUGAGGGAAGAACAUAUGUGUAAGGAACUGUGCACAGCUUGACGGUACCUAAUCAGAAAGCCACGGCUAACUACGUG